GUGCAUAUUAAAUAUGAAAAAACAAGGGAUUUUUCAACACAACUUCUUUGGAAAAGUGUAUCGAGAGCGAAAACAAUCACGGAGAAUUUUCAUCUAUAUAAUUUAAAACGUUAUUUUCAUGCGACUCGUGAAAAAAAACAACAAACACUCGUGGAAAAUGCAAAUAUGAAAUUAUCAGUUACAAAUCAGUAAGUCCAAUGUAGAAAGUUCACAAUGAUUUAGACAAAACACUUACAGCCAAUGUUCAAAACCUAUCGAUUUUUUACGGUUUCAAUUUGCAAAGCGGUUUUUGAAUUUGUUUGGUUUGGAGUUUUAGUUUCGAGAACGGUUUUUAAAAUUAUUUUUAACUAUAACACAUGAGUGACGACCUUUAAAGUCUAUAGUUUAUACCCGCUGAAUAAUACGCUUCUGAAGUUCCACCAUCACUUUAUCCGAUCAACUUUGGAUCUAUAGA